GGGGAUUUAGCUCAGUGAUAGAGCACUUGCCUAGCAAGCACAAGGCCCUGGGUUCGGUCCCCAGCUCCG
rfam:Rattus norvegicus chromosome 5, whole genome shotgun sequence.